rnacentral:rRNA from 1 species
AUACAUGCAAGUCGAGCGGACUUGAAGAGAAGCUUGCUUCUCUGAUGGUUAGCGGCGGACGGGUGAGUAACACGUAGGCAACCUGCCCUCAAGUUUGGGACAACUACCGGAAACGGUAGCUAAUACCGAAUAAUUGUUUUCUUCGCCUGAAGGAAACUGGAAAGACGGAGCAAUCUGUCACUUGGGGAUGGGCCUGCGGCGCAUUAGCUAGUUGGUGAGGUAACGGCUCACCAAGGCGACGAUGCGUAGCCGACCUGAGAGGGUGAUCGGCCACACUGGGACUGAGACACGGCCCAGACUCCUACGGGAGGCAGCAGUAGGGAAUCUUCCGCAAUGGGCGAAAGCCUGACGGAGCAAUGCCGCGUGAGUGAUGAAGGUUUUCGGAUCGUAAAGCUCUGUUGCCAGGGAAGAACGCUUGGGAGAGUAACUGCUCUCAAGGUGACGGUACCUGAGAAGAAAGCCCCGGCUAACUACGUGCCAGCAGCCGCGGUAAUACGUAGGGGGCAAGCGUUGUCCGGAAUUAUUGGGCGUAAAGCGCGCGCAGGCGGUCAUUUAAGUCUGGUGUUUAAUCCCGGGGCUCAACCCCGGAUCGCACUGGAAACUGGGUGACUUGAGUGCAGAAGAGGAGAGUGGAA